CAAAACCCUUCGAUCUGCGUCUGCGACUGCAGCAGAAUGAGUAGAGCCUGCAAGUCGUAAACUCUUUAGGUAGCUGAGUAACUUGGCCACCUGCCAUAAUGGACGCCAACAAUGACCGUUCUCUUUGUGGGCCUCCAUUCCCAAAACGAGAGGAGUUUGGAUGAGAAUAUUCCAAAACAAGCAAGGAACUAGAAAUCCGUUAAAAAAGUAAAUAUUGAAACUGGAAACGUUACAAUUUUUCACCGUUAAUCUUAGGAUAUCUACAGUACUUGUGCCUCGUUUUCUUUAAUCUACACCAUUUUUGGUUAGUUUAAGGUGAAAGUGCAUGAAAAUGGUGUCCAUAAAAAGAAGUUUUUUGAGUAAUAGAGAAAUUAACAAAAAUUUACGGAAUUUAAUGAGAAAAGAAAGAAGAGAUAAUCAAGAGGUCACUUCAAGUACGUUAAACCAUCAACUACGUGAAGCUUAAGAGACCUGACUUAAAACAUCAAGUAAAAUUCGAGAUAAUACAGAAAUCGUUCCUAUGAUGCAGCACUUGAUACUCUUGUGGUUCAAUGUUUUCUUAAAAUUGAGGGACAAAAAUCUAGCAUAAAAGCAUAAUUCAAUGAAAUAUUAGAGAAUAAAAUGUGGCGCCAACCAGGUAUCAAUCAGAACAUGCUGCGUCUCUGAUUAUUGUAUAGUGGUCUACAUUUGGCUGGAAUCGUGUUUUAAAAUCUUAUUAGCAACAGAGAAUCUUAUUAGCAAAAGCAAAAAAUCAAGAAUUAGUAUGAAAUACAUUCAGGUUAUUUAAUGUAAGUAAUCUAAACAUAAUCUGGCUCGUAGAUUUAUCUUGCGACGGAGUUAAUUGCCUGUCCGGCUGAAGCAAGCCUACGUGUCCUUGCUGAAUGGUCAACUUUGCGACUCCCUCCAGCUUUUCUAUCUUCUUGACUGUGGGUUGGGGCCUCUCAAAACGUCGAA